rnacentral:rRNA from 1 species
UACGUAGGUGGCAAGCGUUGUCCGGAUUUACUGGGCGUAAAGGGCGCGUAGGCGGCCGUUUGCGUCGGAUGUGAAAGCCCGGGGCUCAACCUCGGAACGGCAUUCGAUACGGGACGGCUGGAGACCGGGAGAGGAGAGUGGAAUAGCCAGUGUAGAGGUGAAAUUCGUAGAUAUUGGCUGGAACACCGGUGGCGAAGGCGGCCUGCUGGGCAGUAGCUGACGCUGAGGCGCGACAGCGUGGGGAGCAAACAGG